rnacentral:rRNA from 1 species
GGGGAAGGGUUGCUCGGAUUACUGGGCGUAAGGGCGUGUAGGCGGAGCGGCAAGUCGGUCGUGAAAGCCUCUGGCUCAACUGGAGAAUGUCGAUCGAUACUGCCGCCCUUGAGGGUAGCAGAGGAGACUGGAAUUCCCGGUGUAGCGGUGAAAUGUGUAGAGAUCGGGAGGAACACCGGUGGCGAAGGCGGGUCUCUGGGCUACUCCUGACGCUGAGGCGCGAAAGCGUGGGGAGCAAACGGGAUUAGAUACCCCGGUAGUCCACGCUGUAAACGAUGGGCACUAGGUGUGGGGGGGGUUCAGUCCUCUCCGUGCCGCAGCUAACGCAUUAAGUGCCCCGCCUGGGGAGUACGGCCGCAAGGUUGAAACUCAAAGGAAUUGACGGGGGCCCGCACAAGCGGUGGAGUAUGUGGUUCAAUUCGAUGCAGAGCGAAGAACCUUACCUGGGCUUGACAUGCCGGAAGUAGAAACCCGAAAGGGGGACGAACUGUUGAGUCAGGAGCCGGCACAGGUGGUGCAUGGCUGUCGUCAGCUCGUGCCGUGAGGUGUUGGGUUAAGUCCCGCAACGAGCGCAACCCUCACCCUAUGUUGCCAUCAGGUUAUGCUGGGCACUCUUGGGGAACCGCCGGCGAAGAGCUGGAGGAAGGGGGGGAUGACGUCAAGUCCGUAUGCCCCUUAUGUCCAGGGCUACACACAUACUACAAUGGCCGGUACAGAGGGUAGCCAACCCGCGAGGGGGAGCCAAUCCCAGAAGCCGGUCUCAGUUCGGAUUGCAGGCUGCAACUCGCCUGCAUGAAGUCGGAAUCGCUAGUAAGCGCAGAUCAGCACGCUGCGCUGAAUACGUUCCCGGGCCUUGUACACACCGCCCGUCACACCACGAAAGCCGGUUGUACCAGAAGUCGCUGGGCCAACCGCAAGGGGGCAAGCGCCCAAGGUAUGGUCGGUGAUUGGGGUGAAGUCGUAACAAGGUAAC